rnacentral:rRNA from 1 species
UUAGAGUUUGAUCCUGGCUCAGGAUGAACGCUGGCGGCGCGCCUAACACAUGCAAGUCGAACGGCACCCCUCUCCGGAGGGAAGCGAGUGGCGAACGGCUGAGUAACACGUGGAGAACCUGCCCCCUCCCCCGGGAUAGCCGCCCGAAAGGACGGGUAAUACCGGAUACCCCCGGGCGCCGCAUGGCGCCCGGGCUAAAGCCCCGACGGGAGGGGAUGGCUCCGCGGCCCAUCAGGUAGACGGCGGGGUGACGGCCCACCGUGCCGACAACGGGUAGCCGGGUUGAGAGACCGACCGGCCAGAUUGGGACUGAGACACGGCCCAGACUCCUACGGGAGGCAGCAGUGGGGAAUCUUGCGCAAUGGGGGGAACCCUGACGCAGCGACGCCGCGUGCGGGACGGAGGCCUUCGGGUCGUAAACCGCUUUCAGCAGGGAAGAGUCAAGACUGUACCUGCAGAAGAAGCCCCGGCUAACUACGUGCCAGCAGCCGCGGUAAUACGUAGGGGGCGAGCGUUAUCCGGAUUCAUUGGGCGUAAAGCGCGCGUAGGCGGCCCGGCAGGCCGGGGGUCGAAGCGGGGGGCUCAACCCCCCGAAGCCCCCGGAACCUCCGCGGCUUGGGUCCGGUAGGGGAGGGUGGAACACCCGGUGUAGCGGUGGAAUGCGCAGAUAUCGGGUGGAACACCGGUGGCGAAGGCGGCCCUCUGGGCCGAGACCGACGCUGAGGCGCGAAAGCUGGGGGAGCGAACAGGAUUAGAUACCCUGGUAGUCCCAGCCGUAAACGAUGGACGCUAGGUGUGGGGGGACGAUCCCCCCGUGCCGCAGCCAACGCAUUAAGCGUCCCGCCUGGGGAGUACGGCCGCAAGGCUAAAA